GAGUCUAGCAUGUACGCGAGUCAUUGGGACAUCGCGAAACCUAAAGGCGUAAUGAAAGUGAAAGUUUUUCCUAUUAAAACGUAGGGAGGCCGAGGUCUCGUCUUUUUAGACGGAUCUCCUUACUCCCGGGGCGUCUCGUUCUCAUCGCGAGAUGAGGCGCACCAAGAGCGUACACGCUGGGACCCGAAAGAUGGUGAACUAUGCCUGGUCAGGACGAAGUCAGGGGAAACCCUGAUGGAGGUCCGUAGCGAUUCUGACGUGCAAAUCGAUCGUCGGAACUGGGUAUAGGGGCGAAAGACUAAUCGAACCAUCUAGUAGCUGGUUCCAUCCGAAGUUUCCCUCAGGAUAGCUGGCGCUCGUAUAUAAAAGCGAGUAGUCUCAUUCGGUAAAGCGAAUGAUUAGAGGCAUUGGGGUCGAAACGGCCUCAACCUAUUCUCAAACUUUAAAUGGGUGAGAACUCCGGCUUGCUUAAAUAAUGAAGCCGCGAGUUUUGAUUAUAUAUUAAUUAUGGAUAAGAGUGCCAAGUGGGCCACUUUUGGUAAGCAGAACUGGCGCUGUGGGAUGAACCAAACGCAGAGUUAAAGCGCCUAAAUCGACGCUUAUGGGAUACCAUGAAAGGCGUUGGUAACUUAAGACAGCAGGACGGUGGCCAUGGAAGUCGGA
rnacentral:rRNA from 1 species